rnacentral:tRNA from 1 species
GAAGGUAUCGCUCAGGGGUAGAGCACGUGCUUAGCAUGCAUGAGGUCCUGGGUUCAAUCCCCAGUGCCUCCA